CCUACGGUGAGCAGCAGUGGGGAAUAUUGCACAAUGGGGGAAACCCUGAUGCAGCGACGCCGCGUGAGUGAAGAAGUAUUUCGGUAUGUAAAGCUCUAUCAGCAGGGAAGAAAAUGACGGUCCCUGAUUAAGAAGCCCCGGCUAACUACGUGCCAGCAGCCGCGGUAAUACGUAGGGGGCAAGCGUUAUCCGGAUGUACUGGGUGGAAAGGGAGCGUAGACGGCAGCACCAGUCUGGAGUGAAAUGCCGGGGCUUAACCCCGGAACUGCUUUGGAAACUGUGCAGCUAGAGUGCAGGAGAGGGAAGUGGAAGUCCUAGUGUAGCGGGGAAAUGCGUAGAUAUUAGGAGGAACACCAGUGGCGAAGGCGGCUUACUGGACUGUAACUGACGUUGAGGCUCGAAAGCGGGGGGAGCAAACAGGAUUAGAUACCCCAGUAGUC
rnacentral:rRNA from 1 species